rnacentral:rRNA from 1 species
CAGUCGCCACGGUAAUACGGAGGGUGCAAGCGUUAUCCGGAUUUAUUGGGUUUAAAGGGUCCGUAGGCGGAUCUGUAAGUCAGUGGUGAAAUCUCACAGCUUAACUGUGAAACUGCCAUUGAUACUGCAGGUCUUGAGUAAAUUUGAAGUGGCUGGAAUAAGUAGUGUAGCGGUGAAAUGCAUAGAUAUUACUUAGAACACCAAUUGCGAAGGCAGGUCACUAAGAUUUAACUGACGCUGAUGGACGAAAGCGUGGGGAGCGAACAGGAUUAGAUACCCCCGUAGUCCCUGUCUCUUAUAA